AUGAAGAAGAAGAAUUAAACAGAGGGAAGAGAGAGAAAGAGAAUGAACAAGGAGGAAGAGAGAUGAAAGAGAGGUUUUGGGAAGUGGGUUUUGGUCACUGAAGAAGAAGAGCUUGGUAGAGAGAGAAGAGAGAGAAAGAUAAUGAAAAGGAGGAAGAGGUAUAAGAGGUUUUGGGAACUUGGUUUUGUUCACAGGAAAUGAAGAAGAGGAUCAGGGCUUUUGAGAGAAGAUUGACUGGAACAAAGGUUGAAAGGGAUGGCGGAUCAGUUGUAAGUACUAAAGACAUUUCCUGUGUUGUCAUCUCAAGGAAAGAAAAGCCUCCUGGUAUCUGUGAAUUGCUCACUGCUUAAGGAGUGUAAUCUGAGAAGAAGCCCACCUGGAGAAUUCCAUUGGUUGCCUAGUAUUUAAAAUAUUUGCUGACAAUUUACAUAUGAUCAUCGACCAUUAUGUGAUUUUCCAUUUCUUUUGGGAUCAUAAUCAUGUUCCUUUUAAAUCAUAUCCCUUGAUGGUAAGUAUUGGAUGUUUGUUUAUCUAAAGUUAUGAUAUGACAAGUUAUGCCUCAGCCUCAAAAUGUUUGCGAUUCUAAAGUACUUAUGAAU